rnacentral:rRNA from 1 species
AUUGAACGCUGGCGGCAGGCCUAACACAUGCAAGUCGAGCGGAUGAAGGGAGCUUGCUCCUGGAUUCAGCGGCGGACGGGUGAGUAAUGCCUAGGAAUCUGCCUGGUAGUGGGGGAUAACGUCCGGAAACGGGCGCUAAUACCGCAUACGUCCUGAGGGAGAAAGUGGGGGAUCUUCGGACCUCACGCUAUCAGAUGAGCCUAGGUCGGAUUAGCUAGUUGGUUGGGUAAAGGCCUACCAAGGCGACGAUCCGUAACUGGUCUGAGAGGAUGAUCAGUCACACUGGAACUGAGACACGGUCCAGACUCCUACGGGAGGCAGCAGUGGGGAAUAUUGGACAAUGGGCGAAAGCCUGAUCCAGCCAUGCCGCGUGUGUGAAGAAGGUCUUCGGAUUGUAAAGCACUUUAAGUUGGGAGGAAGGGCAGUAAGUUAAUACCUUGCUGUUUUGACGUUACCAACAGAAUAAGCACCGGCUAACUUCGUG